rnacentral:misc_RNA from 1 species
CUACACGUAUCGCACGACGUUUAGCCGGGCUCCGUUUUACCGCUGCAUUCUGACUGACGCUCUCCGUCGCUUCCCCACACAGGUACGCGUGACUCUGUGUUGUGUUGUAGUGCUAUCGUCAUUGGAGCGGUGGUGUGGUAUAUCAUUUACCCCUUCUUGUUGUGGUUCCGUUUUCCUAUAGAGACCCCGUUUUGCGUUGGUUGUUUGUUUCUCCUUCUUCCCCACCCCCCUUUCCGCUUGUUUGCUGUUCUUUUCAAGCCCCCUCACCUUUCUCCCUGCUCGCCUGCUCCUCAUGGGAUUGCAAGCACGCGCACGCACGCAUCGAUAUCGUGAAGAAGCGCAAGAACAGAAACAGGUGUUUGCGUGGGAAAGUUGGUACGCGCACGUGUUGACGUCUCUGAGUCGACGGCAGCAACUAUUUAUCCGUCGCGGAAGUGACGCAUCGCUGGCGGGUCUUUUUCCUUCAUCCCGUCGCCAUAACGUCUUCACCUUCUUGAUUCGCUCACAUAACACUCGAAGACGCGCUAUACAGCUUAUUUGGUUUCACUUAGCAUUUCACCGGUGUUUGCCUCUGCGCACCUGCAGCCAUGGCGACUAUCAACACCGAACUCUCGCUAGUGCGACGCUUUCACGCGCUGCUGCAGAACUACGAUUCGCGGCCCACCGUUGCGCGCCGUAACACGCUUCCGACUCUUUCCCGUUUCCUCCGUAGCAAAGACCGCCAGAUCCGCAAGCUUUCUCUGGAAGCGGUCUACCUCCUGGCCGAGCACCACGAGAACCUCGAGCUGCUCGGUAACGACCACGACCUUGUUGACGGUGUAGUCGAGAUCUACGAUGGGGCCCGGUACGACGACCCGGAACUGUACGACCUGUCCAACAAAACACUCGAUCUCCUGGCGCCGGCCUUCCGCUGCGGCGACCCGCGCGAGGCGGUGGCGCGCCGGGCGGAGCAGGAUGCCGGGGUCGCGUCCGCUGGUGCGGUGCCGCUGUGCCCCACCCCGCUCCCGGACGCCGGUAGCUCCUCGGAGCUGCCAGACUUGUCAAACGCCGUCCGCGAAUACGACACAAUUAUGGGCGAUGGUCACGCCGAGGCGGUCGGCGACUUUGAUCAGCUCUCCGUCAUCUCUGGUGGCACUGGCUUUGAGAUGGCCAGCUCUAGCUCUCACCUGACGCGGCGCAUGACAGACCCCGCGCUUCGGCCGUCGGAGGUCAUCCGCGGCGUCGGCAAAGACUGCCCUCUCUCGAUUGUGCUGGAGAUCCCGGCGCUGGAUGCGAUGACGGACACGUCGCACAUCGAGGAGAUCCUGCAGACAACUCGCGGAGUUGUGUCGUACACCAUUACGGCGAGUGCCCACCAAAUUCGCGUCUUCCUCUCCGCCUUCGCCCAGGCACCGCUGCAGAACAUGCUGACGGAGGCCGGCUACGAGAACUUACUGACCAGCGCCGAGCGGAUGCGCUACCAAGGUAGCGAUGCCGGUAAUCAGAGCCUUAACGGCAGUUUCUUCUACGAUCAGCAAAGCAAGCGGCCGUCCUAUGUGCAGAGCGCAAAGAACUUCGCCUCGAACCUGUUUAAUUCCGUAAUGGUGUACAGUGAUCCGAGGAAUAACUCCCUGGCGGCGCGCAUCAGGCAGCAGCGGGCGGUGAAAGAAGAGGGUGGUAGCACCACUGCAGACCGGAUUGCACAGGCUUUUUCGCGAUGGUGGUAGCUUCCGGACUUGAGGCGGUAGAGAAGCGACCAUCGGCUCGGGUGUGUUGUUGUUUGCGCACCCCCCGGAGAAGGGCUGUGCAGCUGCGGAUGUCCUGUGGUGGGGCUGCGUGUCUUUUAUGCGGCCACCCACCCCCUCCACCUUUUUUGUUGUUGUUGUUUUUUCUUGCUGCUUUUGUCUUUGCUGUGCCCGUUAUCAUCUGUUCACCUCUCUCUAUAAAUAUAUAUAUAUAUAUAUGUAUACGUAUACACGUACGCAUACGCAUACCCAACAGUGCCUUUGUUGAUGCGCUGGGUUUGUUUGUUUUCUUGCUCUCCCUCUCUUCUUUUUGUGGAAGGAGGAGGAGAUGGAGGAGGGGGCGUCUGGAGUGUGCAUUGUGACAAGAGGAUUCGCUCUGAUUUCCGUCGUGCUCUUGCCCUUCUGUGUCGGCGUAUUGCAAGUUGCCGCCGCCAUUGCCGCUGACGUUGGCGUGAUUGUUUGCACAGGUGCGAGGAGGAAGAGGGUGGAAGUGAUCAGGCUGGGUUGCUUCUCGGAUGAUUCCGAAGACACACACACACACGCAUACCCCAGCCAGCCACCCGCACACACACACACACACACACACAUAUGCGUACACAAAAACACAAGACCAAAGAGAAGUCUGCGUGUUGAGCGCACAAGCAAACCGCAGAGAAUGUUGCAUGAUGCUCUCUCGGCCCGAGGAUCGUGUUUUCGAAAAAGAGCAUCGCCUGUUUCUCCGUUCACAACCCUCGGGUCCGCUG